CAGUCGCCGCGGUAAUACGGAGGAUCCAAGCGUUAUCCGGAAUCAUUGGGUUUAAAGGGUCCGUAGGCGGUCUUGUAAGUCAGUGGUGAAAGCCCAUCGCUCAACGGUGGAACGGCCAUUGAUACUGCAGGACUUGAAUUAUUGGGAAGUAACUAGAAUAUGUAGUGUAGCGGUGAAAUGCUUAGAGAUUACAUGGAAUACCAAUUGCGAAGGCAGGUUACUACCAAUUGAUUGACGCUGAUGGACGAAAGCGUGGGUAGCGAACAGGAUUAGAUACCCCUGUAGUCCCUGUCUCUUAUAC
rnacentral:rRNA from 1 species